UUUCCUCUGUCAGUAAUCUAUUGCGGCAUCAAAGGUAAUUGAAUUGCUGCUUUUUGUGGUUUGUGCUGCUACUGGUGUGUGAUGUGAUUUGCAUAUUUUGUGUUUGAUGUUGAAAUUUGUUACUAGAAGGGAAUCAUUUUUCGUGCCAUGAACCCUAGACAAUUUUAUGAAUUAAUCAUAUGCAAACUUGACCGUGAAUUUACAACUAGGCUUCACUAAUAUCUAACAACCCCUAGUUUAGAAUAUCAGUGCAGUUUCUGUGAUUAAUACGACGGAGUUAUGCUUAGCAAAAGGAUUCAUCUCUGAUGAUUUACCUCUUGGAAACAAAGAAAAAGUAAAAAAGAAAUCAUCUCUGAAAUUAAUUACCCUGAAGUUCUGCCUCAUCACUUGAUUCACUUGAUGUUUGGGCGUUAUUGGAAUUGACUCUUUCUCAACUAGAUGCUAUUGCAAUGUAAAAUUGUCUGUCUAGUGCGUUGGACAGAAACUGUUCCUGAAGAUGGUGACAUCAAAACCCCACUAUGGAUUGAAGAGUGGUAAUACCCAUUUCAUCAACAGAUAGUAAUCUAAUCAUUGCUUGAAAUAUGUGGUAACACUGUUAUA
rnacentral:misc_RNA from 1 species